GACGAACGCUGGCGGCGUGCUUAACACAUGCAAGUCGAGCGGAGCGGCGAACGGGUGAGUAACGCGUGAGUAACUGCCCCCCUCUCUGGGAUAACAGUUGGAAACGGCUGCUAAUACCGGAUAGUGGGGGAUGACUCGCGUCCUAUCAGCUUGUUGGGGGGGUAGUGGCCUACCAAGGCGACGACGGGUAGCCGGCCUGAGAGGGCGACCGGCCCCAUUAGGCUGGAGUACGGCCCAGACUACAACGGGAGGCAGGGGUGGGGAGGAUUGCACAAUAGGGGAGGCCCUGAUGCAGCGACGCCGCGUGCGGGAUGACGGCCUUCGGGUGGAAAACCGCUGUCAGCUUUGACGCGGUAGUGGCAGAAGAAGCACCGGCUAACUACGUGCCAGCAGCCGCGGUAAUUC
rnacentral:rRNA from 1 species